ACCCCAUGGAGCUUUAAACCCAACAACACCUAUCUAUUUUAUUCCCCCAUAUUUAUACGGUUAUGUUUGUUUGGUUUUAGGUUGGGGUGACCGCGGAGUAUAAAACAACCUCCACGAAGAAAAGACUAAUAAUCUUUAUCAGAGAAAGACAUUUCUAAGAAAUAAUAUAUUAACUUUAAAUGAUCCGAUAUUCGAUUAACGAAUCAAGUUACCCUGGGGAUAACAGCGCAAUCCACCUUAAGAGCCCUUAUCGACAGGUGGGUUUACGACCUCGAUGUUGGAUCAGGGUAUCACAGUGGUGCAGCAGCUACUAAUGGUUCGUUUGUUCAACGAUUAAAACCCU
rnacentral:rRNA from 1 species